rnacentral:misc_RNA from 1 species
GAUGAAGAACGUAGCGAAAUGCGAUAAGUAGUGUGAAUUGCAGAAUUCAGUGAAUCAUCGAAUCUUUGAACGCACAUUGCGCCCUUUGGUAUUCCUUAGGGCAUGCCUGUUCGAGCGUCAUUUAAACCUUCAAGCUAAGCUUGGUGUUGGGUGACUGUCCGCUUCACUGCGGACUCGCCUCAAAAUUAUUGGCGGACGGUACAUUGGCUUCGAGCGCAGCAGAAACGCGAACUCGGGCCCGUCGUAUUGGCUCCCAGAAGCUAUCUUCACAAUUUUGACCUCGGAUCAGGUAGGGAUACCCGCUGAACUUAAGCAUAUCAAUAAGCGGAGGA